AAGAAAGUAGUUAAGGGCGCAGGGCGGAUGCCUUGGCUCACGGAGGCGACGAAGGACGUGACAAGCUGCGACAAGCCGCGGGUAGGUGCAAGUGACCGUUGAUCCGCGGAUUUCCGAAUGGGACAACCCGCCCGUCUGAAGGACGGGCACUUCCGCCCGGUGCGGAAGGGCCAACCCGGGGAACUGAAACAUCUUAGUACCCGGAGGAAAAGAAAAUAAUCCAAUGAUUCCCCCAGUAGCGGCGAGCGACCGGGGAGGAGCCCAAACCCGGCGUGUGGCGACGCACGCCGGGGGUUGUAGGACCGCGGUGUUGCACGGCAAGAGCGAGGGGAAGCGGCUGGAAAGCCGCGCCGCAGGGGGUGAUAGCCCCGUACCCGAAGCUUGCGCCGGCAUAGCGGU
rfam:Prevotella buccae ATCC 33574 genomic scaffold SCAFFOLD8, whole genome shotgun sequence.